rnacentral:rRNA from 1 species
CGGAGGAUCCAAGCGUUAUCCGGAUUCAUUGGGUUUAAAGGGUGCGUAGGCGGACUGAUAAGUCAGCGGUGAAAUCCCACGGCUCAACUGUGGAACUGCCGUUGAUACUGUUAGUCUUGAAUGCAGAUGAUGUGGGCGGAAUAUGACAUGUAGUGGUGAAAUACUUAGAUAUGUCAUAGAACACCGAUUGCGAAGGCAGCUCACAAAACUGUGAUUGACGCUGAUGCACGAAAGCGUGGGGGAUCAAACAGGAUUAGAUACCCUGGUAGUCCACGCCCUAAACGAUGAUUACUCGAUGUUGGCGAUACACCGUCCAGCGUCCAAGCGAAAGCGUUAAGUAAUCCACCUGGGGAGUACGGCCGCAAGGCUG